AAUGAACGCUGGCGGCAUGCCUAACACAUGCAAGUCGAACGAAGGCUUCGGCCUUAGUGGCGCACGGGUGCGUAACGCGUGGGAAUCUGCCCUUGGGUUCGGAAUAACAGUUAGAAAUGACUGCUAAUACCGGAUGAUGUCGUAAGACCAAAGAUUUAUCGCCCAAGGAUGAGCCCGCGUAGGAUUAGCUAGUUGGUGGGGUAAAGGCCCACCAAGGCGACGAUCCUUAGCUGGUCUGAGAGGAUGAUCAGCCACACUGGGACUGAGACACGGCCCAGACUCCUACGGGAGGCAGCAGUGGGGAAUAUUGGACAAUGGGCGAAAGCCUGAUCCAGCAAUGCCGCGUGAGUGAUGAAGGCCUUAGGGUUGUAAAGCUCCUUUACCCGGGAUGAUAAUGACAGUACCGGGAGAAUAAGCUCCGGCUAACUUCGUGCCAGCAGCCGCCGUAACAC
rnacentral:rRNA from 1 species